rnacentral:rRNA from 1 species
UGGGGAAUCUUGGACAAUGGGGGCAACCCUGAUCCAGCCAUGCCGCGUGAGUGAUGAAGGCCUUAGGGUCGUAAAGCUCUUUCGCCUGUGAAGAUAAUGACGGUAGCAGGUAAAGAAACCCCGGCUAACUCCGUGCCAGCAGCCGCGGUAAUACGGAGGGGGUUAGCGUUGUUCGGAAUUACUGGGCGUAAAGCGCACGUAGGCGGACCAGAAAGUUGGGGGUGAAAUCCCGGGGGCUCAACCCCGGAACUGCCUCCAAAACUAUUGGUCUAGAGUUCGAGAGAGGUGAGUGGAAUUCCAAGUGUAGAGGUGAAAUUCGUAGAUAUUUGGGAGGAACACCAGUGGCGAAGGCGGCUCACUGGCUCGAUACUGACGCUGAGGUGCGAAAGUGUGGGGAGCAAACAGGAUUAGAUACCCUGGUAGUCCACACCGUAAAACGAUGAAUGCCAGUCGUCGGGUAGCAUGCUAUUCGGUGACACACCUAAC